CUUUACCUCUGGUGUGUAUAAGAAGAAAAUGUCUGUUCUGGAAGUCUCAUGGAGCCUCUUUAUGCUUAAAUUGAGCAAUGCUGGAGAGCAAGACUCUUCCUGAUCAACAUGGGUCCACCAGAGGCACAUUGGAAAUGUGAUAGAAAACGGCUGCCAAUUCAAAAGCAGGAAAAGAGCAAACCCACAUAUACAGCAAGAGAGCUGUGAGCUGGACUGGCUCCCAGCAGAAGUGAGACUGGGAAUCUUGGAUUCAGAUUGGUUGCCUCUUCUCUCCUCUGUGAUGUGGCAGAAGAUGUCAGCACCUAUGCUUGAACUUAGUCAUUACUGCUUACUUCCCAAACUUUUCCCAGCUCUCUGACUCCCUCGAGUCUUAGCUUCCUCAUUUGUGAGUUAGAGAUGAUGGGCUCUUCAUACUGAGGCUAUUGUGAGGGCUCAAUGGAAGCACCAAGCAUGGAUCCUGGGAUACAGUAGGUGGUUCAUAAAUGCAAACCAGCAUGAACAUGAACUAUAUUCCUGCCUGUCCCCUCGUGAUGCCUGGUCUCUGGCAGCUGGUCUCUGGUGCUCUGGUCUCACUGAGACCUGGCAGUUUUCCCAGAGUGGUACUAACUCCAUGUCUGUCUUUGGUGUCUUGGUACUUAAGUGUCCUGUGCCACCAGUUCCCUUCCAGCCACAGAUCCUGGCUCACUCUGACAGAACCUUGUUUCUGCUAGUAGUCAUGCUUAAAAAGGGGCUAAUGACCACUCAAGUGUGAGAUGAUGAUUUAUGAAUGCCAUCCCUCCAGACAGUGUUUGCAAUAUUGCACGUUUUGCUUUUAUUUUAUUUGGCACUAGAAAGGCAUCAAGAAUAAAAGGAAACUCU